GACGAACGCUGGCGGCGUGCUUAACACAUGCAAGUCGAACGGUGAAAGUGGAGCUUGCUCCGCUGGAUCAGUGGCGAACGGGUGAGUAACUCGUGGGCAACCUGCCCCUCACUUCGGGAUAACUCCGGGAAACCGGGGCUAAUACCGGAUAUGACCUCCUUGGGCAUCCUUGGAGGUGGAAAGUUUUUCGGUGAGGGAUGGGCCCGCGGCCUAUCAGCUUGUUGGUGAGGUAGUGGCUCACCAAGGCGACGACGGGUAGCCGGCCUGAGAGGGCGACCGGCCACACUGGGACUGAGACACGGCCCAGACUCCUACGGGAGGCAGCAGUGGGGAAUAUUGCGCAAUGGGCGAAAGCCUGACGCAGCAACGCCGCGUGCGGGAUGACGGCCUUCGGGUUGUAAACCGCUUUCAGCAGGGAAGAAGCCGCAAGGUGACGGUACCUGCAGAAGAAGCACCGGCUAACUACGUGCCAGCAGCCGCCGUAA
rnacentral:rRNA from 1 species